rnacentral:rRNA from 1 species
ACGCUAGCGGCAGGCCUAAUACAUGCAAGUCGGACGGGAUUCAGGGAGUAGCUUGCUACGAACUGAUGAGAGUGGCGCACGGGUGCGUAACGCGUGAGCAACCUACCCAUAUCAGGGGGAUAGCCUCUCGAAAGAGAGAUUAACACCGCAUAACAUCAUUUACCGGCAUCGGUUAAUGAUCAAAUAUUUAUAGGAUAUGGAUGGGCUCGCGUGACAUUAGCUAGUUGGAGGGGUAACGGCCCACCAAGGCUACGAUGUCUAGGGGCUCUGAGAGGAGAAUCCCCCACACUGGUACUGAGACACGGACCAGACUCCUACGGGAGGCAGCAGUAAGGAAUAUUGGUCAAUGGAGGGAACUCUGAACCAGCCAUGCCGCGUGCAGGAUGACUGCCCUAUGGGUUGUAGACUGCUUUUGUCAGGGAAUAAACCUUUCUACGUGUAGGAAGCUGAAUGUACCUGAAGAAUAAGGAUCGGCUAACUCCGUGCCAGCAGCCGCGGUAAUACGGAGGAUCCAAGCGUUAUCCGGAUUUAUUGGGUUUAAAGGGUGCGUAGGCGGUCCUAUAAGUCAGUGGUGAAAGACGGCAGCUUAACUGUCGCAGUGCCUUUGAUACUGUAGGACUUGAAUCUAUUUGAAGUGGGCGGAAUAAGACAAGUAGCGGUGAAAUGCAUAGAUAUGUCUUAGAACUCCGAUUGCGAAGGCAGCUCACUAAGUUAGUAUUGACGCUGAUGCACGAAAGCGUGGGGAUCAAAC